rnacentral:rRNA from 1 species
ACUCAAAGGAAUAGACGGGGGCCCGCACAAGCGGUGGAGCAUGUGGUUUAAUUCGACGCAACGCGAAGAACCUUACCUGGGCUCGAACGGCUUCUUAACUGCUGUGGAAACACAGUUAUCCCGCAAGGGAGUGGAGUCGAGGUGCUGCAUGGCUGUCGUCAGCUCGUGUCGUGAGAUGUUGGGUUAAGUCCCGCAACGAGCGCAACCCUUGUCCUGUGUUGCGAACCUCCGCAAGGAGGAGCACUCUCAGGAGACCGCCAGCGAUAAGUUGGAGGAAGGUGGGGAUGACGUCAAGUCAUCAUGGCCUUUAUGUCCAGGGCUACACACGUGCUACAAUGGGCGGUACAAACCGACGCCAACCCGCGAGGGGGAGCAAAUCGGAAAAAACCGUUCUCAGUUCGGAUCGCAGGCUGCAACUCGCCUGCGUGAAGCUGGAAUCGCUAGUAAUGGUAUAUCAGAACGAUACCGUGAAUACGUUCCCGGGCCUUGCACACACCGCCCGU